CAUCAAUAAUCAAAGACCUCCACGAUUGAAACAGCUGUCUGGAGCUGCUGGGAGAAAAAGAGCGAUGAUUCGGAAAAAAAACCGAAAGCAAAAACAAACGAACGCUUUUAGAUUGCGUUCGUUGGACAAAAAUCGAAGAUAAAUGCAAGCAGUUCAAUGAUAUUGAGAUCGGUAUCAAUGACUCUAAUGAGUUGCCAGACCAUAAUUCUGACAAACUUUCGUUUUUUGCAUUUCAAUGAUAAUCAGCUGUGGGAGGUCAAAGAAAGAUUCCUUAAGCUAGAAGAACUUAAAAAGAAGAAGGGAUCUGAUAUAACAAAGUUGAUAUUGAAUGUGUUGGAA